AGAGUUUGAUCAUGGCUCAGAACGAACGCUGGCGGCAGGCCUAACACAUGCAAGUCGAACGAAGCCUUCGGGUUUAGUGGCGGACGGGUGAGUAACGCGUGGGAACGUGCCCUUCUCUACGGAAUAGUCCUGGGAAACUGGGUUUAAUACCGUAUACGCCCUUCGGGGGAAAGAAUUUCGGGGAAGGAUCGGCCCGCGUUGGAUUAGGUAGUUGGUGGGGUAAUGGCCCACCAAGCCGACGAUCCAUAGCUGGUUUGAGAGGAUGAUCAGCCACACUGGGACUGAGACACGGCCCAGACUCCUACGGGAGGCAGCAGUGGGGAAUCUUAGACAAUGGGGGCAACCCUGAUCUAGCCAUGCCGCGUGAGUGACGAAGGCCCUAGGGUCGUAAAGCUCUUUCGCCAGGGAUGAUAAUGACAGUACCUGGUAAAGAAACCCCGGCUAACUCCGUGCCAGCAGCCGCGGUAAUACGGAGGGGGUUAGCGUUGUUCGGAAUUACUGGGCGUAAAGCGCGCGUAGGCGGACUAUUAAGUCAGAGGUGAAAUCCCGGGGCUCAACCCCGGAACUGCCUUUGAUACUGGUAGUCUUGAGUUCGAGAGAGGUGAGUGGAAUUCCGAGUGUA
rnacentral:rRNA from 1 species